rnacentral:rRNA from 1 species
UACGGAGGGAGCUAGCGUUGUUCGGAAUUACUGGGCGUAAAGCGCACGUAGGCGGCUUUCUAAGUCGGGGGUGAAAUCCUGGAGCUCAACUCCAGACUGCCUUCGAUACUGGAGCUUGAGUCCGGGAGAGGUGAGUGGAACUGCGAGUGUAGAGGUGAAAUUCGUAGAUAUUCGCAAGAACACCAGUGGCGAAGGCGGCUCACUGGCCCGGUACGUGACGCUGAGGUGCGAAAGCGUGGGUAGCAAACAGGA